GAGCUGAUCACCAAGGUUCAGUCUCGUAUCUCAUAUAAGCCCUAAUUAAGUCUCCUUGUUCUUGUUACAAGUCAUUUAACGUUGAUGUGAUUAGAGAUGUUUCACUGACCUGGAGGUGUGUUAUUACAUAUCAAGCAAUUAAUCUAUUACCUAAAGACAUUUCCGUUGCCUCGGUAUCAUUCCCUAUGUCUAUCUUGAAUUCUUUGCUUAAGAGAAAUUCCUUGAGAUUAGUUUCUUUUUUCUUCACUCCAGUUUUUAUUUGUUCUAUAGUUCACACAUGGUCCCUACAAUGUAACUUAUUGAAUAACAAAGUUUUGCCUUCUAUUCAUUGGAUGUUGUUCCUAUAGUCAGGGAAAAACAUCUACCUAUAAUUGCUGACAUAGUUGCUAGAUUUAUAUGUAUUGAGCAAGAACUCAUUAGAUCGAGAUAAGUCUGACAAGCAGAUCUCUCUUGCAUCUUAUGAAGCAGUGUGGCAGAUUUGGAAAGAAAUAAGUGGAGAUUUCUUUUAGGCCAAAGAUAUGAGUCCG
rnacentral:lncRNA from 1 species